CCUACGGGGGCUGCAGUGGGGAAUAUUGGACAAUGGGCGAAAGCCUGAUCCAGCCAUGCCGCGUGUGUGAAGAAGGCCUUCGGGUUGUAAAGCACUUUCAGUGGGGAAGAAAGCCUUGGGGCUAAUACCCUCGAGGAAGGACAUCACCCACAGAAGAAGUACCGGCUAACUCCGUGCCAGCAGCCGCGGUAAUACGGAGGGUGCGAGCGUUAAUCGGAAUUACUGGGCGUAAAGCGCGCGUAGGCGGUCUGAUAAGCCGGUUGUGAAAGCCCCGGGCUCAACCUGGGAACGGCAUCCGGAACUGUCAGGCUAGAGUGCAGGAGAGGAAGGUAGAAUUCCCGGUGUAGCGGUGAAAUGCGUAGAGAUCGGGAGGAAUACCAGUGGCGAAGGCGGCCUUCUGGACUGACACUGACGCUGAGGUGCGAAAGCGUGGGUAGCAAACAGGAUUAGAUACCCCUGUAGUC
rnacentral:rRNA from 1 species